ACCCUGUAGAAUCGAAUUUGUGUGAGCACCUCAAUCACAAAUUCGUCUCUAGGGGAGU
rnacentral:pre_miRNA from 1 species